GACGAACGCUGGCGGCGUGCUUAACACAUGCAAGUCGAACGGUAAGGCUCCAGCUUGCUGGGGUACACGAGUGGCGAACGGGUGAGUAACACGUGGGUGACCUGCCCUGCACUUCGGGAUAAGCCUGGGAAACUGGGUCUAAUACCGGAUAGGACUGCACCGUGAGGGUGUGGUGGAAAGUUUUUUCGGUGUGGGAUGGGCCCGCGGCCUAUCAGCUUGUUGGUGGGGUAAUGGCCUACCAAGGCGGCGACGGGUAGCCGGCCUGAGAGGGUGGACGGCCACAUUGGGACUGAGACACGGCCCAGACUCCUACGGGAGGCAGCAGUGGGGAAUAUUGCACAAUGGGCGGAAGCCUGAUGCAGCGACGCCCCGUGGGGGAUGACGGCCCUCGGGUUGUAAACUCCCUUCCCCAUCCACCAAGGGUUUCCGAACGUAGAAGGAAAAAAAACCACCGCUAACUACGUGCCAGCAGCCCCGGUAAUACGUAAGGUGCGAGCGUUGUCCGGAAUUACUGGGCGUAAAGAGCUCGUAGGUGGUUUGUCGCGUCGUCUGUGAAAUUCCGGGGCUUAACUCCGGGCGUGCAGGCGAUACGGGCAUAACUUGAGUACUGUAGGGGAGACUGGAAUUCCUGGUGUAGCGGUGAAAUGCGCAGAUAUCAGGAGGAGCACCGGUGGCGAAGGCGGGUCUCUGGGCAGUAACUGACGCUGAGGAGCGAAAGCAUGGGGAGCGAACAGGAUUAGAUACCCUGGUAGUCCAUGCCGUAAACGGUGGGCGCUAGGUGUGGGUUUCCUUCCACGGGAUCCGUGCCGUAGCUAACGCAUUAAGCGCCCCGCCUGGGGAGUACGGCCGCAAGGCUAAAACUCAAAGGAAUUGACGGGGGCCCGCACAAGCGGCGGAGCAUGUGGAUUAAUUCGAUGCAACGCGAAGAACCUUACCUGGGCUUGACAUAUACAGGAUCGCGCCAGAGAUGGUGUUUCCCUUGUGGCUUGUAUACAGGUGGUGCAUGGUUGUCGUCAGCUCGUGUCGUGAGAUGUUGGGUUAAGUCCCGCAACGAGCGCAACCCUUGUCUUAUGUUGCCAGCACGUUGUGGUGGGGACUCGUAAGAAACUGCCGGGGUUAACUCGGAGGAAGGUGGGGAUGACGUCAAAUCAUCAUGCCCCUUAUGUCCAGGGCUUCACACAUGCUACAAUGGUCGGUACAGUGGGUUGCCAGUCCGUGAGGGCGAGCUAAUCCCGCAAAGCCGGUCUCAGUUCGGAUCGGGGUCUGCAACUCGACCCCGUGAAGUCGGAGUCGCUAGUAAUCGCAGAUCAGCAACGCUGCGGUGAAUACGUUCCCGGGCCU
rnacentral:rRNA from 1 species